rnacentral:misc_RNA from 1 species
ACAUCGGGUGACGAGUUCCAACCGCCAUUUUGUUGAAAGCAAGGUGGGAAAAAGAAAGAUAGGACGUGCUGAUGGGCUUAGCGGAUUUUAAAUGUAAAUGAAAUUCGUUGACGACAGCCAAACUUGUAAAGAGUUGUCAACGUGCCUGCCACUUACACUUGCUAGUAAAAUAUGGCAAGGCAAAAAACUGGUCAAAGAAACGCCAUUUCGAUGCAUAACAGGUUAUUACAUUUCCCUUGACCUGAAGAACCAGAUUCUCACUACCAAUGUUUGGGUCGAACAUGAUUGGAUGGAUUCGAAACUAAAUUGGGAUCCGGACGAGUAUGGCGGCGUGGAGCAACUGAUCGUCCCGUCUGAACUUCUAUGGCUACCAGAUAUUCUUCUGUAUAACAACGCCGAUGGAGAAUACGUCGUGACUACAAUGACCAAAGCGAUACUUCACUUCGACGGCCACGUCAAAUGGAACCCUCCAGCUAUUUUUAAAUCGUAUUGCGAAAUUGACGUCGAGUGGUUCCCCUUUGACACGCAGACAUGCUUCUUGAAGUUUGGUCCCUGGUCUCACAACGGUCUACAGAUGGAUUUGAGACACAUCAACUCGUCAGACAACCUGGUGGAGAUUGGCAUCAACUUGAAGGACUACUACCCCAGCGUCGAAUGGGACAUAAUCAGCGUUCCGGCUGAACGUCACGAGAAAUUCUACGAGUGCUGCCCCAACGAGUUUUAUCCCGACAUCUUCUUCAAUAUGACCCUGCGCCGGAAAACUCUGUUUUACACAGUCAACUUGAUCAUCCCUUGCGUCGGCAUUUCCUGUCUGUCCGUGUUAGUGUUUUACCUUCCGGCCGAUUCGGGCGAAAAGGUGGCGCUGUGCAUCAGCAUCCUUUUGUCGCAGACCAUGUUCUUCUUGCUCAUUUCGGAGAUUAUCCCGUCCACGUCACUAGCCGUCCCCCUGCUGGGCAAAUACCUCCUUUUCACCAUGUUCCUCGUCGGCCUGUCCGUCCUCAUCACCAUCGUCAUUCUCAACAUGCAUUACCGCAAACCAUCCACGCACAAGAUGGCGCCAUGGGUACGGCGCAUUUUUAUCCAUCGGCUGCCAAAGAUCCUUCUCAUGCGGGUACCCAAACGAGUCAACGAGGAAGUCGAGGAACGAAUGAAGUACAUCGCCAAUAGGCGAUUAAAUUCAAAGGAUGGCAGAAGAUGGUCGAGACGAGUCAACUACGGUUCGCAAUUGCUUUGCGAAAUCAUCAACUUUAACAAUCUUCCACCGCCACCAUCGCCUCCCCCUCCGCCUCCACCACCACCGCCCGUCCCUGCCAACUUGCGUGACAUGGGACAAUUAGGACGUCGCAAACGCUAUCCGCUAGAGCUUCAAAAGGCUAUACGAGACGUCCAGUUUAUACGCAAUCACAUGAAACGACGUGACGAAUACGAUGCGGAGGACAAAGACUGGGGAUUUAUCGCCAUGGUACUGGAUAGGCUCUUCCUGUGGAUGUACACCAUCGCCUCGGUGAUCGGCUCAUUCGUCAUCUUGCUCACCGCUCCGGCCCUUUACGAUGACUCGAGUGACAUGGCCAUCAAGUACUCGCUCGUCGCCCAGCAACUUUACGGCAUCCCGGAUUUCUGAAUGGCCGCCUCUUACCCGACAAUGACUUUCAUCCUCACGCCAAAAAACGCAGCACGUCUCGCCCAGACGAUGUCGUAUAUUUUAGUAGGAAAGACUCGCAAUCAAAGUCAAAAACCAUCUUCAAGUCGUUCUCUUUUCUCUUGCUCUCUCCCUUUAAUUAGCUAUAGCUUAAAUAUAAAUAUAUAUAUAUACGGCUUCCAACACUUAAUGUGUUGUGAUCAAACGUACUGUAAUAAUCCCCAACUGGUAACUUUGGGAUGUUUUCUUUUACGUUUGUUUUUGUUUUUCUAAUUUUAUUUUUGUGACCAGAAAAGUCUUCCUACUCUCAACAAAACAGGCCAAGAAAAGAAAAACAGCGCAAACUUUUGAUGUGCGAGCUGACUUUCUAAUAGUCUUUCUCUCGUCGUGUAUCGUUCUUGGAAAUUCUCAAUUAACUUAGACGUGAACCUAUGGCCGGGUUGGGUAAAAGCCCAAAGUUUGAACGGUGUGAAUGAAAAUAAAUAGUCCGCAAAAGAACAACACAAAAGUAACUGACACUCUGCUCUUUAUUCCGUAAUGGAUGAAUCCUUCAUUUCUCACAGAGAGCAGCACACGAAAACUCUUAAGAGUCUUAAAAAUUACCAAAGGUUAAAGUAAUACGCUUCGUGACUGGAACGCUGUUAUUCGAUCCUUUGAUAUGAUCCUAGAUAUCCCGUCUUAUUUCCAGGAGUAAAGAAAAGAAAGUUUUAAUUUCAAGAAAGUUGCGUUUUAUACAUAGGAAAGUUUUUAUCGCAGAGCUGGGCAAUAUUUUAUGCAUGAAGGGACGACAUAACUUGUUUAAUGCCCACAACGUAUAAAAAUAGUUCACCGUGGGCUUCUCAUACAUAAAAUAUAAACAGCAAAGAUAAGUCGUGAAAGAUAAUGCCGUCAGAAAUUGGGCGGAGAUAGACGUAGAUGGGUAGCAGCACCGACGACAAAGUUUUCUUUUAAGACUCGCUCCGUCUGUUUCUCACAGUCAAGUUUAUUAUUUCUCCAGGCGAAAAAAAAAAAACGAUUGAACAACAAGAGAAAGUAAAAGAGAAAAUCGAGAAAAACAGAAAUUCAAGAAAAAAAAAAAAUAAAUAAUAAAUAGGAAGAUGUAUCAUAAAUGGAGCCGAAGCGGAAGAUUGGAUUUGUUUCUUUUUUGCCGGAAAAAGAAAACCAGACUUAAAAGACAGUGGCUGGGAAAAGAGAGAAGAAAAAAGGUUGGAUGUUUAUACCGUUGAAGGACAAAAGAACGCCGUUCCGAUUGAACAAGUGAGACAAAAAGAUCGUAAGUAAAAUGGAUGUGUACAUAUAACGGAAGAAAGAAACGCUGGAUCAACUGCGUUUUCAUGAUGCUGGAAAAAAAAAAGAGAGAAGAAAAAAUGGAUGCUGCGUUUUUCAAAUAGACAAUUUAGUUGCCGUCGGCGCUACUGGAAAAUAGGCAUGAGAUAGCUGAUCCAGCGGAAUGGUCUCGUCGUAGAGCGAUGGCGCUUCAAAGAUGAUGGCUGCCGUGCCGACAAAACAGGCGACGAUGAAGAUCCAGAGGAAGAAACGAUCCAAAACCAUAGCCACAAAUUUCCAGUCUUCAAUCACCUCAAUCUCCCUGUCAGUGUCUUUCGUGUGUUUGGCAAUGAACUGGAUGCUUCUCAGCGCACAGCUGACAUCUGGCGGCAAUAGAUCAUCAUCGCCAUAAGUUAAAGGGCCGAAAUCUAGCACAAACCAGAAAACAAUUCACACUUCGAAGCUGAGAAUUAAAAGAAAAACUAAAUUCGUACUGUGAUAAAUCGGUUGCCUGGGCUGAUUGCUUGAAGCGUAACUGCCAUAGGUGGAAGAACGAAGUUCAAACGUUGCUGUGAUAUCGUUAGUCGGAACAGUUUCUCCAGGGAUCUCCGACGGGCAUGAAGGAUUCUUACGAUAAGUAUGAGCAUAAAUGUACGGUGUCGAAUCGUUCCUGUUUUCGCAGACGACACAAACGUGAAACGCUUGAACCAAUCGGGGAAAAAACACAAAAACAAUUGAAUCGUGUACCUGCCGAAGUCGAUGCCGUUGUAGAAUUGAUUCUUCUUCUUUCUCUCGUCACCACAACUUCCCUGGCAAAGGGAGACAUGUGAUGCGUAGCAGGCGACCUGGAAACCCCGCCCAGGAAAGAGAAAGAAAAUCGAUAGCAGACAGCUUUUUUGUUGUUUCGCUUGGCGGUUUCAGUGAAAAACUACCGAAAAUGGACGUUGAGAACACAAACAGUGACGAUAAUGGAGACUGUCACCAGGAUCAUGGUGAAAAGGAGAUAUUUGCCCAGUAAGGGCACGGCCAGUGACGUGGGAGGAAUAAUUUCAGCCAGCAGGAGGAAGAAGACAGUCAGCGAGACGAGAAUUGAAAUGCACAGGGUGACCUUUUCACCGGAAUCGGAUGGCAGGCAUUUGAAUUACUUGCCUGGAUAAGGUUCUUCGCAGCAAGGAUAUCUUUCUUCAUUCUUCCUGGCUGGAACAUCGAGAAUGUCCCAUUCGACCGAUGGGUAGAAUUCAGUUAAAUUGAUACCAGUAACGAUGUUGGCCGAGACGACAUCGAUUCCACUGUCACCCUCUUGCAUCAUGUGCAUCAAAUCAACCUAAAAAGGAUAAGUUAAUGUUUAAUUGAUAAUUUCUUAAAAGAAGAAUGCUGGACAUCACUUCGUGGCCGUCGUAAGUCCACGAUCCGAAUUUCAUGAGGCAACUCUGCUUGUCGAAUGGAAACCAUUCGACAUCCAUCUCGCAGCUGGACUUGUAGAUGGCCGGUGGAUUCCAGUUGACCAGACCCGUAUGAUGGACAGUAGCUUUGGAAUGAUGAAACGUGAACGACUCACUUGUUGUACAAGACAAUGUCGGGCAACCAGAUGUUUUCAGCUGGUACGUAGAGCAUUUCCACAUCCUCGUAAUCGGCUGGAUCCCACACCAGACGAUAGUCGGUCCAUUUCUGCUUGCAUCGAACGUGAGCUUCAGAGAACUACGUCCUCGACGACUGAUCUCCCAGCUGGAUGUCGGAGCCUGCGUUGCUGCGAGAUUCGAUGGUGGCAGAUCAUCUGUUUCGUCUAGUGACCGUUGAACGUCCAGAGAGCAGCACCAUCCAGUCGUUGCUUAGGUCGAUCCUUCCAGACAGAACCUAAAUCAAUAACAGACAGCAUCCUUCCAAUGUUUUCACUGCGGCUGAAGGUUUCUCAUUCGUGACGUUCCUAUUAUAACUUCUCUUUCCGUUUUGGGACCAAAAUAAGUAAAAAGAAAACUAGCGCAAUAGCAAAGUUAGCUAGAGAGGAUUCCACAUGGGUUUAUUGAUCGAUCCAUUCUAGAGACCCAACCGAAUAAUAAUAUGAAUAAAAACAAAAGAAAAUCCCUUUGCAUCACUCGUACAAGAGGCAAACAUCGUUAGAAAAAAAAAAGACACAUCUGAGAAAAAACACAGUGCGAAAAGAAACUUCAGUUGGAAGAAAAACAGAGGGGCAUAUAAAGAAAUAAGUGAUAAAAGAUCGACACAUUAAUCAAGCAACAUCACGCCCUAAAUUCCAAUCAAAGACACAAAUCGAAAUACAACAGCAACCGCAAAAAUAAAACAAAAUCGGCGUUUUUUUU